GGUUUCCACCUCUUUCCCUUGACCCAGCACUACACCUACCAGUACAUAUUUUUGCUUUGGAUGUCAGAUUCACCACAAUAUAUUAAUUUUGUGAUUUAAUUGGAAGCUGCAGGCACAAGAUCUGGACUGGGUUCUGAUUCCUGUGUGGCGUCCUGGACAUUGGACACUAUGUGUUAGUACAAUACUUAUUUACAUAUUUACUGCAUUUCUUGACACUUGUCUAAUUCAUUUUUUACUCUGCGGUAGUGUUCAUCAUCAGUGUGACAUAUUUUUUCAGAUUCUGAAACCUAAGCAAAGGGAGAUUUUCUUCCUUGAUUCUAUCAGUGGCUUCACAGAUGAAAACCACAUCAAAACAUUAAGGUUUUAUAGGAAUGAGUUUGAAAGUGGCAUGUGUUCAGCAUGUUGUUCCGUUGUUCCACGGAGGCAAAGGUUCAGCAUUAAUCUUCAUAUUUAUGUAAGAGUAAAUAUCCAAAUUGAAUUUGUGGAUAACGUUUUAAUGCCUGGAAUCCAAUAGGACAUACAUUUUCUAAGCAGUCUUGUUUCUUUUUAAACAAGACGUGGGUUAAAGCUGGACCAUCAAGAGACCGUUCUGUCUCACAUCUGUCUUUCAUUCUCAUACAUGUUUAUAAUUUUUAUGUUGUGAAAUAUACCCUUGCUAAUUUUUAACUUAAAAACUUUGUAUCAUCAGAGAAGUCUGUCUUCAGAUGUCAUCUGGACCAUGGACAGAAUUUGUUGGCAAUGAUGUUAAGGGAUUGCCUAAACAAGGACUGUCCAACAACUGUGUAAUGUUUGUAGUGAUGCUAACAUCCGCCUCCACCCACCAUAUUGUUGUAUGGUUUGUAUAGACGUAAUAAUCACAUUUUUCUCAACAGUAUGCACUACUUUGUGAUGGGAGCAUCAUUUGAUUUCAGCGAGAAUGAUAUGAUGACAAUACGAAGAUGGUGGUCUCUCACUCUCUGGAGAAACUUCCCUGUGAAGUAAGAACAAUAAUGGUGCACUGUACCACGUCAUGUUACACAUAUGGCAGAUUUUUUAAGAAAACCUUCAAUAUGUCCUUUUAAAACAGGGGCCCCCAAAGUCGGCCCUCGAGGGCCGGCAUCCUGCACGUUUUAGUUCUCUCCCUGGUGGAACCAACAACCUUUUCAGCGUGUCAGUUUUCUUCUUAGGCCGUCUAACGAGCCGUCAUUGGAUCCAGGUGCAUUAAACUAGGGAGAAACUAAAACAUGCAGGAUGCUGGCCCUCCAGGACCGACUUUGGGGCCCCUGGUCUGACUGAACAACUAGACAUGAAAAUAGAUAAUUAAAUAUGUAGUUUUGAAAAUAAAUACUGAAUUUGAAAAUUAAAUGUUUAGUUUGCAAAAUAAAUAUUUAU